rnacentral:snRNA from 1 species
AUACUUACCUGACAAAUGGGUUACUGUGUUCUCCUAGGCAGUUCCCCAUGGGCUGGAUUGACCCCUGCGAUUAUCCCUCGUGUGGAUGACUCGUGUGUGCGAUUUUUGGUAACCGGAAUCCCGAUUUUAUCUAAAUCUAA